rnacentral:tRNA from 1 species
GCCUGGCUGGCUCAGUUGGUGGAGUGCGUGCCUCUUGAGCUCAGUGUUGUGGGUUUGAGCCCCACAUUGGGUG